CUACGGGUUGCUGCAGUGGGGAAUAUUGCACAAUGGAGGAAACUCUGAUGCAGCAACGCCGCGUAGAGGAUGACACUUUUCGGAGCGUAAACUCCUUUUAUAUAGGAAGAUAAUGACGGUACUAUAUGAAUAAGCACCGGCUAACUCCGUGCCAGCAGCCGCGGUAAUACGGAGGGUGCAAGCGUUACUCGGAAUCACUGGGCGUAAAGAGCGUGUAGGCGGGUUAAUAAGUCAGAAGUGAAAUCCUAUGGCUCAACCAUAGAACUGCUUUUGAAACUGUUAACCUAGAGUGUGGGAGAGGUAGAUGGAAUUUCUGGUGUAGGGGUAAAAUCCGUAGAGAUCAGAAGGAAUACUGAUUGCGAAGGCGAUCUACUGGAACAUAACUGACGCUGAGACGCGAAAGCGUGGGGAGCAAACAGGAUUAGAUACCCCCGUAGUC
rnacentral:rRNA from 1 species